AAUGCAAAUAAGCGCAAGGACCUUCUUGCAAGGAAAGGGAUAUUGGUAAUUAUGAUACUGUCCGUAGCUACAGCAGUUUCCUCUCGUUCUUUUCUCAUACUGCUUGGUGAGGAGGCAGAGGAGAUUAUCACAAAAUGGGCAACUUGAAAUGUUUAUCUAUAGUUCUAGUACUCUCCCAGAUGAUCCUCCAAGGGAAAAGGAGCUUGACAGAUCUGGAAGUCAUCCAGAUUUACCUUUCUUCGAUAUAGACACAAUAGUUGAAGCAACUAGCAAUUUUUCCAACAAACUUGGAGAAGGUGGUUUUGGCUCAGUGUCUAAGGUAUUAUCCCGUGAACAGUAAAAUUGUCAACUCCUUCAUAAAAUUUAAUUUGAAUAUUUGGCAAGUCACACUAUUAGUACUGUUGUGUGAUAUAUGCGGCCAUGGCAGUACGUCUGUGAAAUAAGUCUAGAAAUGUACUUUCAGGGUCAACUAUCAAAUGGACAAGAAAUAGCAGUGAAAAGAUUAUCUAAACAGUCAGGACAGGGAAUAAAGGAAUUCAGGAAUGAAGUACAAUUGAUAUCAAAGCUCCAGUAUAGAAACUUUGUCUGGCUUUUUGGUUGUUGCAUUCAUAAAGAAGAUAAAAUGCUAAUCUAUGAACAUUUACCGAACAAAAGCUUGGACUACUUCAUCUUUGAUAAGUCAAGGAAGCAACUAUUGGACUGGAGAAAGCAUUUUGAAAUUAUUUUUGGGAUAGCUCGAGGAGUUUUAUAUCUACAUCAAGAUUCAAGAUUAAAAAUAAUCCAUAGGGACUUGAAAGCAAGCAAUAUUCUAUUAGAUGCUUCAAAAGAGCCAAAAAUUUCAGACUUUGGGUUGGCUAAAUUGUUCAAGGAACAUCAAAUUGAAGCCAUUACAAAGCAAGUGGUUGGAACAUAGUAAGUUACUUAACUCCAACACCAUCUCCCUGCUUGGAAACAUUAAAAGGUCACAAACCACCAAUAAAUUGUUUCUUUUUAUCUACUUGUAGUGGCUAUAUGUCUUCAGAAUAUGCAAUGGAUGGUCUAUAUUCUGUAAAAUCUGAUGUCUUCAGCUAUGGUGUCUUAAUACUAGAGAUCAUAAGUGGCAAGAAAAACACUGAGUAUGACAAAGAAAGC